GAUGAACGCUAGCGGCAGGCCUAAUACAUGCAAGUCGAGGGAGAAUGUUGGAUUCGUCUGACAUGAAACCGGCGCACGGGUGCGUAACACGUAUGCAACCUACCUUUAACUGGGGUAUAGCUCAGAGAAAUCUGAAUUAAUCCCCCAUAAGACUACGACAUGGCAUCAUGAUGUAGUUAAAGCUCCGGCGGUUAAGGAUGGGCAUGCGGUACAUUAGCUAGUUGGUGAGGUAAUGGCUCACCAAGGCUACGAUGUAUAGGGGGUCUGAGAGGAUGAUCCCCCACACUGGUACUGAGACACGGACCAGACUCCUACGGGAGGCAGCAGUAGGGAAUAUUGGUCAAUGGACGCAAGUCUGAACCAGCCAUGCCGCGUGAAGGAUGAAGGCCCUAUGGGUCGUAAACUUCUUUUAUAGGGAAGAAAAAACGGGAUGCGUCCUGUACUGACGGUACUUAAUGAAUAAGGAUCGGCUAACUUCGUGCCAGCAGCCGCCGCAG
rnacentral:rRNA from 1 species